UCCUGGUGGCGAGUGGCGAACGGGUGAGUAAUAUAUCGGAACGUGCCCAGUCGUGGGGGAUAACGCAGCGAAAGCUGUGCUAAUACCGCAUACGAUCUAUGGAUGAAAGCGGGGGACUCGUAAGGGCCUCGCGCGAUUGGAGCGGCCGAUAUCAGAUUAGCUAGUUGGUGGGGUAAAAGCCCACCAAGGCGACGAUCUGUAGCUGGUCUGAUAGGACGACCAGCCACACUGGAACUGAGACACGGUCCAGACUCCUACGGGAGGCAGCAGUGGGGAAUUUUGGACAAUGGGCGCAAGCCUGAUCCAGCAAUGCCGCGUGCAGGAUGAAGGCCUUCGGGUUGUAAACUGCUUUUGUACGGAACGAAACGGUGAGCUCUAAUAAAGUUUGCUAAUGACGGUACCGUAAGAAUAAGCACCGGCUAACUACGUGCCAGCAGCCGCGGUAAUACGUAGGGUGCAAGCGUUAAUCGGAAUUACUGGGCGUAAAGCGUGCGCAGGCGGUGAUGUAAGACAGAUGUGAAAUCCCCGGGCUCAACCUGGGACCUGCAUUUGUGACUGCAUCGCUAGAGUACGGUAGAGGGGGAUGGAAUUCCGCGUGUAGCAGUGAAAUGCGUAGAUAUGCGGAGGAACACCGAUGGCGAAGGCAAUCCCCUGGACCUGUACUGACGCUCAUGCACGAAAGCGUG
rnacentral:rRNA from 1 species